rnacentral:rRNA from 1 species
GCAGCAGGCACGCAAAUUACCCACUCCCGGCACGGGGAGGUAGUGACAAAAAAUAACGAUACGGGACUCUUAUGAGGCCCCGUAAUCGGAAUGAGUACACUUUAAAUCCUUUAACAAGGAUCCAUUGAAGGGCAAGUCUGGUGCCAGCAGCCGCGGUAAUUCCAGCUUCAAUAGCGUAUAUUAAAGUUGUUGCGGUUAAAAAGCUCGUAGUUGGUUCUGCGUGCCACGCUGUCGGUUCGCCGCCUGCCGGUGUAACUGGCAUGCCGUGGCAUGUCCUGUCGGUGGCGUUCGGGAGCCUCGUCUAGGUGACGGCCCUUGCCACAAGCUUGGUGUCCGGAGGCCGGGGGUAUACUCGUUCGCCUACUCUAUCCUACCUAGGUGCUCUUCACCGAGUGUCGAGGUAGGCCGACACGUUUACUUUGAACAAAUUAGAGUGCUCAAAGCAGGCUGAAAUCUCUGCCUGAAUAGUGGUGCAUGGAAUAAUAAAACAGGACCUUGGUUCUAUUUUGUUGGUUCUUAGGAACACAAGGUAAUGAUCAAUACGGACAGGCGGGGGCAUUCGUAUUGCGACGUUAGAGGUGAAAUUCUUGGAUCGUCGCAAGACGCACAAGAGCGAAAGCAUUUGCCAAGUAUGUCUUGAUUGAUCAAGAACGAAAGUUAGAGGUUCGAAGGCGAUCAGAUACCGCCCUAGUUCUAACCAUAAACGAUGCCAGCCAGCGAUCCGCCGAUGUUCCUCCGAUGACUCGGCGGGGAGCUUCUUCCCGGGAAACCAAAGCUUUUGGGUUCCGGGGGAAGUAUGGUUGCAAAGCUGAAACUUAAAGGAAUUGACGGAAGGGCACCACCAGGAGUGGAGCCUGCGGCUUAAUUUGACUCAACACGGGAAACCUCACCAGGCCAGGACAUUGGAAGGAUUGACAGAUUGAUAGCUCUUUCUUGAUUCAGUG